GACGGAGGAUGCAAGUGUUAUCCGGAAUCACUGGGCGUGAAGCGUCUGUAGGUGGUUUAAUAAGUCAACUGUUAAAUCUUGAGGCUCAACUUCAAAAUCGCAGUCGAAACUAUUAGACUAGAGUAUAGUAGGGGUAAAGGGAAUUUCCAGUGGAGCGGUGAAAUGCGUAGAUAUCUGGAGGAACACCGGUGGUGUAAACGGCUUUCUGGACCAUUACUGACGCUGAUGCACGAAAGCGUGGGUAGCAAACAGG
rnacentral:rRNA from 1 species